UGGGGAAUAUUGGACAAUGGGGGCAACCCUGAUCCAGCAAUGCCGCGUGAGUGAUGAAGGCCCUAGGGUUGUAAAGCUCUUUCGGCGGGGACGAUGAUGACGGUACCCGCAGAAGAAGCCCCGGCUAACUUCGUGCCAGCAGCCGCGGUAAUACGAAGGGGGCUAGCGUUGUUCGGAAUUACUGGGCGUAAAGGGCGCGCAGGCGGCUCUUCAAGUCAGAUGUGAAAGCCCCGGGCUCAACCUGGGAACUGCAUUUGAGACUGGAGAGCUCGAGUUCGGGAGAGGAGAGCGGAAUUCCCAGUGUAGAGGUGAAAUUCGUAGAUAUUGGGAAGAACACCGGUGGCGAAGGCGGCUCUCUGGACCGAUACUGACGCUGAGGCGCGAAAGCGUGGGGAGCAAACAGGAUUAGAUACCCCCGUAGUCC
rnacentral:rRNA from 1 species